rnacentral:rRNA from 1 species
AUGGAAAAACCACGAUUGGAAAUGAUUGCCGAGCAUAGAGGUUUACCUUCAAGCAUAAGAAACAGCUUCUUGGCAAGACCACUCAGGAAGGCCUCCAGAUCAUUUUUCUUCCCUGUCAACUUACUGACUUGGUCGGUCAGGGCAGCUUUAUCAGUUUUCAGUCGACUGACCUCCUUGUUGGCGAUCCCAAGAGCAGCUUUCAGAUUGGUAUUGUCUUGUUCAAGCUUGGUGACUGAAGAUAACUUCUCGUCAGCAAGCUUGAUCUUCUCAGCUAGUUCAAGGUCUUUCUUCUGUUGGGCCUCCCUUACCUUACCUGCAAGUUACAGCAAGAUCAGAUUUUGA